GAUGAACGCUGGCGGCGUGCCUAAUACAUGCAAGUCGAGCGAACAGACGAGGAUCUUGCUCCUGUGACGUUAGCGGCGGACGGGUGAUUAACACGUGGAUAACCUGCCUAUAAGACUGGGAUAACUUCGGGAAACCGGAGCUAAUACCGGAUAAUAUAUUGAACCGCAUGGUUCAAUAGUGAAAGACGGUUUUGCUGUCACUUAUAGAUGGAUCCGCGCCGCAUUAGCUAGUUGGUAAGGUAACGGCUUACCAAGGCGACGAUGCGUAGCCGACCUGAGAGGGCGACCGGCCACACUGGAACUGAGACACGGUCCAGACUCCUACGGGAGGCAGCAGUAGGGAAUCUUCCGCAAUGGGCGCAAGCCUGACGCAGCAACGCCGCGUGCGUGAUGAAGGUCUUCGGAUCGUAAACCUCUGUUAUUCGGGAAGAACACAUGUGUACGUAUCUCUGCACGUCAUGACGGUACCUAAUCAGAAAGCCACGGCUAACUACGUG
rnacentral:rRNA from 1 species